rnacentral:rRNA from 1 species
AUGGCAUCCCUCACCAUGCUCAUCGGAUGGACCAUUUGGAAUGAGAGGAACGCACAAAUUUUCCGCAACAAGAGCAUGCCACCCCCAAUUCUGCUAAGCAACAUCAAGAGUGAAGCCCUCACCUGGGUCACCGCCGGGGCUAAGAAGCUAGGUACUAUAAUACCGGGAAAGUAA